rnacentral:rRNA from 1 species
GACGAACGCUGGCGGCGUGCCUAAUACAUGCAAGUAGAACGCUGAAGAGAGGAGCUUACUCUUCUUGGAUGAGUUGCGAACGGGUGAGUAACGCGUAGGUAACCUGCCUUGUAGCGGGGGAUAACUAUUGGAAACGAUAGCUAAUACCGCAUAACAAUGGAUGACACAUGUCAUUUAUUUGAAAGGGGCAAUUGCUCCACUACAAGAUGGACCUGCGUUGUAUUAGCUAGUAGGUGAGGUAAUGGCUCACCUAGGCGACGAUACAUAGCCGACCUGAGAGGGUGAUCGGCCACACUGGGAGGGAGACACGGCCCAGACUCCUACGGGAGGCAGCAGUAGGGAAUCUUCGGCAAUGGGGGCAACCCUGACCGAGCAACGCCGCGUGAGUGAAGAAGGUUUUCGGAUCGGAAAGCUCUGUUGUAAGUCAAGAACGGGUGUGAGAGUGGAAAGUUCACACUGUGACGGUAGCUGACCAGAAAGGGACGGCUAACUACGUG